GUUAUAUGGUCAAGCGACAAAGCGUAUACGGUGGAUGCCUUGGCGGUCAGAGGCGAUGAAGGACGUGGCAGCCUGCGAAAAGUGUCGGGGAGCUGGCAACAAGCUUUGAUCCGGCAAUGUCCGAAUGGGGAAACCCACUGCGUGAGCAGUAUCCAGCACUGAAUACAUAGGUGUCUGGAAGCGAACCCGGAGAACUGAAAUAUCUAAGUACCCGGAGGAAAAGAAAUCAACCGAGAUUCCCUGAGUAGCGACGAGCGAACGGGGAGCAGCCCUUAAGCGCCUUAUGUUUUAGUUGAACGCUCUGGAAAGUGCGGCCAUAGACGGUGAUAGCCCGGUAAACGAAAAAGCAUUUGGCGUGAAAUCGAGUAGGGCGGGGCACGAGAAACCCUGUCUGAACAUGGGGGGACCAUCCUCCAAGGCUAAAUACUACUGACCGACCGAUAGUGAACCAGUACCGUGAGGGAAAGGCGAAAAGAACCCCGGAGAGGGGAGUGAAAUAGACCCUGAAACCGUAUACGUACAAGCAGUGGGAGCCCCUUCGUGGGGUGACUGCGUACCUUUUGUAUAAUGGGUCAGCGACUUACUGUCAGUGGCAAGCUUAACCAUCUAGGGGAGGCGAAGGGAAACCGAGUCUGAAUAGGGCGCAUAGUCUCUGGCAGUAGACCCGAAACCGAGUGAUCUAUCCUUGGCCAGGUUGAAGGUGCGGUAACACGCACUGGAGGACCGAACCCACAUCCGUUGCAAUGGAUGGGGAUGAGCUGAGGAUCGGAGUGAAAGGCUAAACAAACUCGGAGAUAGCUGGUUCUCCUCGAAAGCUAUUUAGGUAGCGCCUCAUGUGAAUCUUCCUGGGGGUAGAGCACUGUUAUGGCUAGGGGGUCAUCGCGACUUACCAAACCAUGGCAAACUCCGAAUACCAGGACAGACUGCAUGGGAGACACACGGCGGGUGCUAACGUCCGUCGUGAAAAGGGAAACAACCCAGACCCGCAGCUAAGGUCCCCAAGUUAGUGCUAAGUGGAAAACGAUGUGGGAAGGCACAGACAGCCAGGAGGUUGGCUUAGAAGCAGCCACCCUUUAAAGAAAGCGUAAUAGCUCACUGGUCGAGUCGGCCCGCGCGGAAGAUUCAACGGGGCUCAAGCACUACACCGAAGCUCGGGGUGCACACUUUGUGUGCGCGGUAGAGGAGCGUUCUGUACGCCUGCGAAGGUGGAUCGUAAGGUCUGCUGGAGGUAUCAGAAGUGCGAAUGCUGACAUGAGUAACGAUAAGGAGGGUGAAAAGCCCUCCCGCCGAAAGCCCAAGGUUUCCUCGCGCAACGUUCAUCGGCGCAGGGUGAGUCGGCCCCUAAGGCGAGGCUGAAAAGCGUAGUCGAUGGGAAGCGGGUUAAUAUUCCCGCACCUUGCCGUAGUGCGAUGGGAGGACGGAGAAGGCUAGGUCUACCGGGCGUUGGUUGUCCCGGGGAAAGGCGGUAGGCGGUGUUAGGAGGCAAAUCCUUCUUUCACAUACGCCGAGCACCGAGACCAGGCUCCAAGUGAGCCGAAGUGACUGAUGCCACGCUUCCAGGAAAAGUCCCUAAGCUUCAGCUAUGGUGAGACCGUACCGCAAACCGACACAGGUAGGCAGGAUGAGAAUUCCAAGGCGCUUGAGAGAACUCGGGUGAAGGAACUAGGCAAAAUGGUACCGUAACUUCGGGAGAAGGUACGCCCGCCUGCGUGGCUACAUGCGUAGCUGAGCGCGGACGGGCCGCAGUAACCUGGCCGCUGCGACUGUUUAUCAAAAACAUAGCACUGUGCAAACACGAAAGUGGACGUAUACGGUGUGACGCCUGCCCGGUGCCGGAAGGUUAAUUGAUGGGGUCAGCCGCAAGGCGAAGCUCUUGAUCGAAGCCCCGGUAAACGGCGGCCGUAACUAUAACGGUCCUAAGGUAGCGAAAUUCCUUGUCGGGUAAGUUCCGACCUGCACGAAUGGCGUAACGACAGCGGCGCUGUCUCCACCCGAGACUCAGUGAAAUUGAAAUCGCUGUGAAGAUGCAGCGUUCCCGCAACAAGACGGAAAGACCCCGUGAACCUUUACUACAGCUUCACACUGAACGUUGAGUUCAUCUGUGCAGGAUAGGUGGGAGGCUUUGAAGCGCAGGCGCUAGCUUGCGUGGAGCCAUCCUUGAAAUACCACCCUGAUGUGCUUGACGUUCUAACCCAGACCCGUUACCCGGGUCGGGGACCAUGUGUGGUGGGUAGUUUGACUGGGGCGGUCUCCUCCUAAAGAGUAACGGAGGAGCACGAAGGUACGCUCAGCGCGGUCGGACAUCGCGCACUGUGUGCAAAGGCAUAAGCGUGCUUGACUGCGAGAUCGACGGAUCAAGCAGGUACGAAAGUAGGUCUUAGUGAUCCGGUGGUUCUGUAUGGAAGGGCCAUCGCUCAACGGAUAAAAGGUACUCCGGGGAUAACAGGCUGAUACCGCCCAAGAGUUCAUAUCGACGGCGGUGUUUGGCACCUCGAUGUCGGCUCAUCACAUCCUGGGGCUGUAGUCGGUCCCAAGGGUAUGGCUGUUCGCCAUUUAAAGUGGUACGCGAGCUGGGUUCAGAACGUCGUGAGACAGUUCGGUCCCUAUCUGUUGUGGGCGUUGGAGAUUUGAGGGGGGCUGCUCCUAGUACGAGAGGACCGGAGUGGACGUUCCGCUGGUGUUCGGGUUGUCAUGCCCAUGGCAUUGCCCGGUAGCUACGAACGGAAGUGAUAACCGCUGAAAGCAUCUAAGCGGGAAGCACGCCCCAAGAUGAGAUCUCCCGAGACUUCGAGUCUCCUUAAGGACCCAGGUAGACCACCUGGUUGAUAGGCGCGGUGUGGAAGUGCAGCAAUGCAUUGAGCUAACGCGUACUAAUGAUCCGUGCGGCUUGACCAUAUAACCCCAAG
rnacentral:rRNA from 1 species